GACGUAGGGCGCGAGCGUUGUCCGGAUUUAUUGGGCGUAAAGAGCUCGUAGGCGGCUUGUCGCGUCGUUCGUGAAAACCUGCAGCUCAACUGCAGGCUUGCGGUCGAUACGGGCAGGCUAGAGUUCGGUAGGGGAGACGUGGAAUUCCUGGUGUAGCGGUGAAGUGCGCAGAUAUCAGGAGGAACACCGGUGGCGAAGGCGGGUCUCUGGGCCGAUACUGACGCUGAGAAGCGAAAGCAUGGGGAGCGAACAGG
rnacentral:rRNA from 1 species